CACGAGGGCUAUUUAGAAGCUAUUUUUCUAAAAUUUAUACAAAUAUGUUGGAAAUCGAAUGUAAAUCAAUAUUACAUCAAAGAUAAUUUAAUCACCUGCCAAUAUGCGAGGUCGACGUAGGCAAACAACAUUGUAUCAUACAACUCUAGCUGUAGGUUGGUUGCUAACAAAGAAUAUGGCAUUGAUCCCAGCCUGUGUAAUAGCUUUGUGUUUUACAAACUUCUUCGAUGCUCCCAUAACACUCACGUUCACCAGUAUAUGUUACUAUAUAGUAUAUAUGAAUAUAAUAUUAUAUCCUUAUAUUUAGAAAUAUUGAAUUGUUGAUCAAAUUUAUAGAGCUCCUGCUUACCAACCUCUAUCAUGUUUUAAGUUAUAUUGGAACCAACUCAUCGGAUACAUGAUUAAUACUCUCGUCUGCUGAAAAAUUAUUGUUGUGUAAUUCCGUGUUCUCUUUUCAAACAAAAGCUAUAAAAUAAGCUUUAAAGCUGAUAGAAACAAUGUGAAAUUUAUUUAUUUAAACGAAACAGUAAUAGCGAUUAAAGAAACUGCACGAA